UACGUAGGGUGCGAGCGUUGUCCGGAAUUAUUGGGCGUAAAGGGCUCGUAGGCGGUUUGUCGCGUCGGGAGUGAAAACCUUGGGCUUAACUCAGGGCUUGCUUUCGAUACGGGCAGACUAGAGGUAUGCAGGGGAGAACGGAAUUCCUGGUGUAGCGGUGAAAUGCGCAGAUAUCAGGAGGAACACCGGUGGCGAAGGCGGUUCUCUGGGCAUUACCUGACGCUGAGGAGCGAAAGCGUGGGGAGCGAACAGG
rnacentral:rRNA from 1 species